CUUGGCACUGGUAGAAUUCACUGAAUUCUUUUAAGUUCAGUGAAUUACCAGUCUCAAAAA
rnacentral:pre_miRNA from 1 species